rnacentral:rRNA from 1 species
UUGGUCAAUGGCCGAAAGGCGAACCAGUAACUUGGAAGAAUGAAAGUGUAUUAUAAUAAUACAAUAACGAUUAUAUCGUAUAAAAUUCUAAAUAGAAUAAUGAUAAUGACAAUUUUCUAUUUAUAAGUCUUGACCAAACUACGUGCCAGCAGUCGCGGUAAUACGUAGAAGACUAGUGUUAAUCAUCUUUAUUAGGUUUAAAGGGUACCUAGACGGUAAAUUAAACUCUAAAUGAGUACUUAUUUACUAGAGUUUUAUGUAAGAAGGAAGAAGCUCUGGAGUAGUGAUAUAAUACGUAUAUACCAGAGAGACUGGUAACGGCGAAGGCAUCCUUCUAUGUAAAAACUGACGUUGAGGGACGAAGGCUUGGGUAGCAAGAAGGAUUAGAUACCCUAGUAGUCCAAGCAGACAAUGAUGAAUGUCAUAGACUAGAAAAAGUCGUUUAGACUAUAAAUUUAGUCUAUAAAUGAAAGUGUAAGCAUUCCACCUCAAGAGUAAUAUGGCAACAUAUAAACUGAAAUCAUUAGACCGUUUCUGAAACCAGUAGUGAAGUAU